GCCCUUCUCAGCUGUUUGCGAUUUUG
rnacentral:sRNA from 1 species